rnacentral:lncRNA from 1 species
GUCAGGCUUGGUGUUUGGGUGGUGUCUUAAUGGAGAGGGUUGUGGUGACCUAGUGCCUAGGUCUUAUCUUUGGGUUAGAGGAAGCCAAGCCCUGUCUGGGCAUUCCGUCCUUAACAGUCGGGUUUGUGUUCUUCUUUCUGGGUUGAAGGGGUCUAAGAAGAGAGCUUGGAGAUUUGGGGCUUUUCUUUAAUUAUCAUGGGAUCAGUUGGGCAGGUGCCCAAAGCGGUGAGGGCAGCCACUCCAGACUUUGGCAGUAGACCUGGGAAUUCCAAGAAAACUGCAAUCUAAGUACUCAGUGACACUAGAAUGUAGUCUGAAAAUACAUUUCCUUUGCUUUUUCCUUGUUUGGUUCAUUUUGUGAAUGAACUUCUGAAGGUGUUUCAGGAAAGAACUGUGGAAUUGAUUCCUUUACUUUCUGUGGACUAUGAAGAGCCCCCAAUUGGUCCUUUGAUGGGAUUUGUGGAUGUGCCUUGAAAAACUUCAAAUGGUUUAUAGGUCUCAUUUAUUAAUAAAGAGGCUGUUAGUGUAUUCCAUGUCACCCAUCAUGAGAGGGCUAGAGCUUUGAUGGAGCACUGUGUGUGGUUGUCAGAUUGGACCAGUGAGCAUAGAGACAAUGUCUGUGGCUUUCCGUUUUGUACUCUGCAGGGAAGGAAUCUGUGCGCAGAUGUGACCUUGUUUGUACGGAAGGUGAGAAUUACUACAAGGUAGUCAGACAGGGUUCCCAUAAAGACAAUCAUGAAGUCACAAGUCCCCUUUUCUUUCUCAACAUUGCCUUCUCAGGUCUCCGUUGCUUAGAUAAGAUGGCAUUGAGAAGGGGAAGCUGAACACUGUUCCCUGACUGCAUGGUCUUAGUACAUCAUUGACCUAACAUCAAAGAGACACCCUAUGAAUGUAAUGAAUGUGGGAAAGCCUUGAGCCAUCCGCCAGCUUUCAUUCAGCACCAGCGGAUUCAUACUGGAGAGAUUCUAUGAAUGUACUGAAUGUGGAAAGGCCUUCAACCAGAGCACACAUCUCACUGAACACCAGAGAAUGCAUACUGGAGAGAAACCCUAUGAUUGUAAAGAAUGUGGAAAAACCUUCAGCUGAAGCACACAACUUACUGAACAUCUGAAAAUUCAUUCUGGUGGAAAACUCUAUCAAGGUAACAAAUGCCCAAAAUGGUUUUGCUCUAGAACAUCACUAAUUGGACAUCAAAGGGCUCAUUCAGGAGGAAAAAGCCUGCCAAUGUAAUCAAUAUGGAAAUCAUUCAACCUAAGCUCACCUCUUAUAAAACAUAAAUGUACACAUAGAGGGAAGAAAUCUUAUCAAUGUAGUAAAUGUGAUGAUGUUUUUCUAUCAUAAUACAUCUUUA